UCGAUUCUGACAAUACAGGAAGAACAGAAGUGGAGGAGGCAUGAGUUCCUCUGUUGGGAGCAAGCCGAGUGGGCAAGCCAAAUGGUAUGGAAUCCCAUUCAGCAGAGCAUCGAACCAGGAGAUCUGUGUCAAGUGGAGGAGGUGGAAUUGUGGGUCGUGGCCAUGAGAUCAUGUACUGUACCACCCAGAAGGAACCGGUCUUAAAGAUUGUCGGAAUGGCCUUCUAAAAGCAAACUGAAGCUCCAGCCGUGAGAAAGCACUCUGAGAAGGAGAGAGGCCAGGAAGCCCAUGGAAGAGCUGCUCUCUGCACCUCUGUGGAGAAGUAGAUCUGUGGGGCCAGGAGACCAUGCCUCACAGCCCUCCAACGAUAGGGAACAUAACUGAACAAGGACCCCAACUACUUCCCUCUGAAUUCUGCCACCACAUUUUUGCUAAAGUACGCUUCUUAUGGA